rfam:Aedes aegypti strain Liverpool supercont1.199 genomic scaffold, whole genome shotgun sequence.
UGCCCAGCAACUCCUAUCCCUACCUCCUCGUGGUACUGGCCGGGGUACGAGUAACCUUGGGGAAGAUCGGGUAACCAACCCCCGGUGGGAACUUUUGUCGUAUGCUGACAGGGAAGG